rfam:Tolypothrix campylonemoides VB511288 scaffold_3, whole genome shotgun sequence.
GUCAACGACUUCUAGUUGAGUACAAUCCCCAGGCACUGAAAGGCAGGGCUGCUGUAGUUAACUCUAGUUGACCAGUUUUAGUCCAUUAACGGACUACGUUCAGGGCAAGUGUUUAAGUUCCUACUCCGGAAUGCUUGCCAGUUCCGCGAACGCCAGUCGCCUCAAGUCGGGAAACCCGCCCACGGCGCUGGCUCCCCUAGAACCAGAUUGUUAAACGUCCGAUGAAGUUUAGGCAGAGUGCAAUCUGGAAAGUUACCGACCCUGAACAUUGACGAGGCAAACUUUAC